GACGAACGCUGGCGGCGUGCUUAACACAUGCAAGUCGAACGGUAAGGCCCCUUCGGGGUACGACGAGUGGCGAACGGGUGAGUAACACGUGAGCAACCUGCCCUUGACUCUGGAAUAACAGUUGGAAACAGCUGCUAAUACCGGUUAUGACCUGUCACCGCAUGGUGGUGGGUGGAAAGUUCCGGCGGUCAGGGAUGGGCUCGCGGCCUAUCAGCUUGUUGGUGAGGUAAUGGCUCACCAAGGCUUCGACGGGUAG
rnacentral:rRNA from 1 species